GAGUUUGAUCGUGGCUCAGGAUGAACGCCGGCGGUGUGCCUAAUACAUGCAAGUCGUACGCACUGGCCCAACUGAUUGAUGGUGCUUGCACCUGAUCGACGAUGGAUCACCAGUGAGUGGCGGACGGUGAGUAACACGUAGGUAACCUGCCCUGUACAGGGGAUAACAACCAGAAAUGACUGCUAAUACCGCAUAAGACCACAGCACCGCAUGGUGCAGGGGUAAAAACUCCGGUGGUACAGGAUGGACCCGCGUCUGAUUAGCUGGUUGGUGAGGUAACGGCUCACCAAGGCGACGAUCAGUAGCCGGCUUGAGAGAGUGAACAGCCACAUUGGGACUGAGACACGGCCCAAACUCCUACGGGAGGCAGCAGUGGGGAAUAUUGCACAAUGGGGAAACCCUGGUGCAGCAACGCCGCGUGAGUGAAGAAGUAUUUCGGUAUGUAAAGCUCUAUCAGCAGGGAAGAAAGUGACGGUACCUGACUAAGAAGCCCCGGCUAAC
rnacentral:rRNA from 1 species